rnacentral:rRNA from 1 species
UACGGAGGAUCCGAGCGUUAUCCGGAUUUAUUGGGUUUAAAGGGUGCGUAGGCGGCCUUGUAAGUCAGGGGUGAAAGACGGUAGCUCAACUAUCGCAGUGCCUUUGAUACUGCAGGGCUUGAAUGUACUUGAGGCAGGCGGAAUGUGACAAGUAGCGGUGAAAUGCAUAGAUAUGUCACAGAACACCAAUUGCGAAGGCAGCUUGCUAAAGUAAGAUUGACGCUGAGGCACGAAAGCGUGGGGAUCAAACAGGAUUAGAUACCCUGGUAGUCCACGCCCUAAACGAUGAAUACUCGAUGUUGGCGAUAUACAGUCAGCGUCAAAGCGAAAGCGUUAAGUAUUCCACCUGGGGAGUACGCCCGCAAGGGUGAA